rnacentral:rRNA from 1 species
CCUACGGGAGGCAGCAGUGAGGAAUAUUGGUCAAUGGCCGGAAGGCUGAACCAGCCAAGCCGCGUGAAGGACGAAGGUGCCAAGCAUUGUAAACUUCUUUUGUCAAGGGACAAAAUCAGGCUCGAGAGCCUGAACGAGGGUACUUGAAGAAAAAGCAUCGGCUAAAUCCGUGCCAGCAGCCGCGGUAAUACGGAGGAUGCGAGCGUUAUCGGGGUUUAUUGGGGUUAAAGGGUGCGUAGGCGGACGGUUAAGUCAGCGGUAAAAGCCCGGGGCUCAACCCCGGCGAGCCGUUGAAACUGGCCGUCUUGAGAUGUCGAGAGGUAUGCGGAAUGCGCAGUGUAGCGGUGAAAUGCGUAGAUAUUGCGCAGAACUCCGAUUGCGAAGGCAGCAUACCGGCGGCGAUCUGACGCUGAGGCACGAAAGCGUGGGUAUCGAACAGGAUUAGAUACCCCAGUAGUC